rnacentral:rRNA from 1 species
GCCAAACAGCUAGCCUGAAUAAAACCAUAACCUUAAAAUAUAGAUAUUAUUUUAUCAAAACCAAAUAUUAAAACAUUUUACCCCCUAAGUAUAGGUGAUAGAAAAGGAAUCCAGAGCAAUAGAAAGAGUACCGAAAGGGAAAGCUGAAAAAGAAAUGAAACAACCCAACAAAGCAAAGAGAAGCAAAGACUAAGCCUUGUACCUUUUGCAUCAUGGUCUAGCAAGAAAGCCCAAGCGAAGAGAACUUAAGUUUGACCCCCCGAAACCAGGGGAGCUACUUCGAAGCAGCCCAAAGGGGCAAAUCCGUCUCUGUGGCAAAAGAGUGGAGAGACUUCUGAGUAGAGGUGACAAGCCUACCGAACCUGGUGAUAGCUGGUUGCUCAGAAAAUGAAUAUAAGUUCAGCACUAUUUAAUUCUAAUACUAUAUAAAAAGAACCAGUAAAACAUAGUAGUUAGUCAAAAGGGGUACAGCCCUUUUGAGUAAAGGAUACAACCUUUUAAGGUGGGAAAGGAUAAAAAACCAAAGGCAUCUACCCCAGUAGGCCUAAAAGCAGCCACCUGUUAAAACAGCGUUAAAGCUCAAGUAGAAUUUAACCAAUAAUACCAAUUAAACAAACCCUACCCCCUCCAAAUACUGAGCCGCUCUAUAAUAAUAUAGAGAAGAUAAUGCUAGAAUUAGUAAUAAGAGGGCGACACCCCUCUCCUUGCACAAUUGUGAGUCAGAUAGGAUAAACCACUGAUAAUUAACGGCCCCAAAUAGAGGGAAUAACAAAAAACAUAACAAACAAGAAAAACCUGAAUCAAGUACCGUCAACCCGACACAGGAGUGCACCAAGGAAAGACUAAAAGGAAAAGAAGGAACUCGGCAAAAUCAAAACCCCGCCUGUUUACCAAAAACAUCGCCUCUUGCUAACAACGAAGUAUUAGAGGUCCCGCCUGCCCUGUGACAGCAGUGUUUAACGGCCGCGGUAUUUUAACCGCGCGAAGGUAGCGUAAUCACUUGUCUUUUAAAUGGAGACCUGUAUGAAUGGCAUUACGAGGGUUUAACUGUCUCCUUUCCCUAGUCAAUGAAAUUGAUCUACCCGUGCAGAAGCGGGCAUAACCACAUAAGACGAGAAGACCCUAUGGAGCUUUAGGCAAAUGAUCAAGCAUACCAAACCCUAUUUUAAAAUAAAUGUUCGGUUAAAACAAAAACUGAUGAUCAAGACGCCUUCGGUUGGGGCGACCGUGGAGGAAAGAAAAGCCUCCAAGUGGAACGGGAAAACCCUUGAACUAAGAAUAACAGCUCUAAGUACCAGAAAAUCUGACCAAAUAUGACCCAGGCCUAAACCUGAUCAACGAACCCAGUUACCCUAGGGAUAACAGCGCAAUCCUCUCCCAGAGUCCAUAUCGACGAGAGGGUUUACGACCUCGAUGUUGGAUCAGGACAUCCUAUUGGUGCAGCCGCUAUUAAGGGUUCGUUUGUUCAACGAUUAAUAGUCCUACGUGAUCUGAGUUCAGACCGGAGUAAUCCAGGUCGGUUUCUAUCUAUGAACUGGCCUACCCCUAGUACGAAAGGACCGGGGUAAGGGGGCCAACGAAGAAUCAAGCCCCAGCCCAGCCCGCUGAAGUCAUAUAAAACGGACAAUGGGCAAGACUCACCCGCCAGAUAGAAUGGCAC